rnacentral:rRNA from 1 species
UACGGGGGGGGCGAGCGUUGUCCGGGAUUAUUGGGCGUAAAGCGUGCGUAGGCGGCGUGGCAAGUCUGUUGUGAAACCUCCAGGCUCAACUUGGAGCUUGCAUCAGAAACUGCCGUGCUAGAGUGUGGGAGAGGAGAGUGGAAUUCCUGGUGUAGCGGUGAAAUGCGUAGAUAUCAGGAGGAACACCGGUGGCGAAAGCGGCUCUCUGGACCACAACUGACGCUGAGGCGCGAAAGCUAGGGGAGCAAACAGG